rnacentral:rRNA from 1 species
CGGCCAGACUCCUACGGGAGGCAGCAGUGGGGAAUAUUGCACAAUGGGGGAAACCCUGAUGCAGCGACGCCGCGUGAGUGAAGAAGUAUUUCGGUAUGUAAAGCUCUAUCAGCAGGGAAGAAAAUGACGGUACCUGAUUAAGAAGCCCCGGCUAACUACGUGCCAGCAGCCGCGGUAAUACGUAGGGGGCAAGCGUUAUCCGGAUUUACUGGGUGUAAAGGGAGCGUAGACGGCAGUGCAAGUCUGAAGUGAAAGCCCCGGGCUUAACCCGGGAACUGCUUUGGAAACUGUACGGCUGGAGUGCUGGAGAGGUAAGCGGAAUUCCUAGUGUAGCGGUGAAAUGCGUAGAUAUUAGGAGGAACACCAGUGGCGAAGGCGGCUUACUGGACUGUAACUGACGUUGAGGCUCGAAAGCGUGGGGAGCAAACAGGAUUAGAUACCCUAGUA